UGGUGGAGUGAUUUGUCUGGUUAAUUCCGAUAACGAACGAGACUCUCACUUGCUAACUAACAAAACGUACGGUGUGUGUGAUGUUGUGGGCCUCGGCUCCUUUCACACAUAUCAGCGAUUGUCUUCUUAGAGGGAUUUACAGCAGCCAAACACAGCCGAAUCGAGAAACCGAGAGCAAUAACA
rnacentral:rRNA from 1 species